UAAGAUAAAGAACCAAUAUUUUUGGUGAUUCAUAAUAACUUUACGGAUCACAUUAUGUGACAUAUCAUUCAAGUUUCUGACCUAUCAGCUUUAGACGGUAGGGUAUUGGCCUACCGUGGCUAUGACGGGUAACGGGGAAUUAGGGUUCGAUUCCGGAGAGGGAGCCUGAGAAACGGCUACCACAUCUAAGGAAGGCAGCAGGCGCGCAAAUUACCCAAUCCUAAUACAGGGAGGUAGUGACAAGAAAUAACAAUACAGAACCUUACGGUUUUGUAAUUGGAAUGAGUUAAGUAUAAACCCCUUAACAAGUAUCAAUUGGAGGGCAAGUCUGGUGCCAGCAGCCGCGGUAAUUCCAGCUCCAAUAGCGUAUAUUAAAGUUGUUGCAGUUAAAAAGCUCGUAGUUAAUCUUCUGUUAAUUUUUAUAUAUAAUAUUUCGAUAUUUAUAUAAUAUUAACAUAAUUCAUAUUACUUUUUAGUAUAUGAAACUUUACUUUGAGAAAAUUAGAGUGCUUAAAGCAGGCUAUUGCCUUGAAUACUCCAGCAUGGAAUAAUAUUAAGGAUUUUUAUUCUUCUUAUUGGUUCUAGAAUAAAAAUGAUGAUUAAUAGGAACAGUUGGGGGCAUUUGUAUUUAACAGUCAGAGGUGAAAUUCUUAGAUUUGUUAAAGACAAACUACUGCGAAAGCAUUUGCCAAGGAUGUUUUCAUUAAUCAAGAACGAAAGUUAGGGGAUCGAAGACGAUCAGAUACCGUCGUAGUCUUAACCAUAAACUAUGCCAACUAGAGAUUGG
rnacentral:rRNA from 1 species